AGGACGAACGCUGGCGGCGUGCUUAACACAUGCAAGUCGAGCGGAAAGGCCCUUCGGGGUACUCGAGCGGCGAACGGGUGAGUAACACGUGAGCAACCUGCCCUUAGCUCCGGGAUAGCUCCGGGAAACCGGAAUUAAUACCGGAUACGACCACGGCCGACAUCUGCUGUGGUGGAAAGGAUUCCGGCUAAGGAUGGGCUCGCGGCCUAUCAGCUAGUUGGUGGAGUAACGGCCCACCAAGGCGACGACGGGUAGCCGGCCUGAGAGGGCGACCGGCCACACUGGGACUGAGACACGGCCCAGACUCCUACGGGAGGCAGCAGUGGGGAAUAUUGCGCAAUGGGCGAAAGCCUGACGCAGCGACGGGCCGCGUGGGGGAUGAAGGCCUUCGGGUUGUAAACCCUUCAGCAGGGACGAAGCGAAAGUGACGGUACCUGCAGAAGAAGCGCCGGCUAACUACGCGCCAGCAGCCGC
rnacentral:rRNA from 1 species